CAGCCGUAAACUAUGCGCGUUAGGUGUAUCGGUGACCAUGAGUCACCGAGGUGCCGAAGGGAAACCGUGAAACGUGCCGCCUGGGAAGUACGGUCGCAAGGCUAGAAACUUAAAGGAAUUGGCGGGGGAGCACCCACAACGGGUGGAGCCUGCGGUUUAAUUGGACUCAACGCCGGGAAGCUCACCGGAUAAGACAGCGGAAUGAUUGCCGGGCUGAAGACCCUGCAUGACUAGCUGAGAGGAGGUGCAUGGCGUAGACGUCU
rnacentral:rRNA from 1 species